AGUUGAUAGCCCUCGGCGUAAAGAGUGGUUAAGAAACAUCCUAAAACUAAAGUUAAACGACUUCAAAGCUGUUAUACGCACAUGAAUAUAUGAAAAUCAACUACGAAAGUGACUUUAAACUCCUGAACCCACGAAAGCUAUGACACAAACUGGGAUUAGAUACCCCACUAUGCCUAGCUGUAAACAUUGAUAUUAACAUACCCAUUUUAUCCGCCUGGGUACUACGAGCACCAGCUUGAAACCCAAAGGACUUGACGGUGCUUUAGAUCCACCUAGAGGAGCCUGUUCUAGAACCGAUAAUCCCCGUUAAACCUCACCUUUCCUUGCCCUGUCAGCCUAUAUACCGCCGUCGUCAGUUUACUCUGUGAAGAAUCUGAAGUAAGCACAAUCGGUACAGCCCAAAACGCCAGGUCGAGGUGUAGCCAAUGGAAAGGGAAGAAAUGGGCUACAUUCAAUAGAAAAUAAUGAAUACGGAUGAUAUUUUGAAAAAGAUGUCUGAAGGAGGAUUUAGCAGUAAGUAGAGAAUAGAGCGCUCUACUGAAAUUGGCCCUGAAGCGCGUACACACCGCCCGUCACUCUCCCCGAGCUAAAAAAAAUACAUUUCUAAUAAGCAAAAUC
rnacentral:rRNA from 1 species